rnacentral:rRNA from 1 species
GACGAACGCUGGCGGCGUGCUUAACACAUGCAAGUCGAACGGAAAGGCCCUGCUUUUGUGGGGUGCUCGAGUGGCGAACGGGUGAGUAACACGUGAGUAACCUGCCCUUGACUUUGGGAUAACUUCAGGAAACUGGGGCUAAUACCGGAUAGGAGCUCCUGCUGCAUGGUGGGGGUUGGAAAGUUUCGGCGGUUGGGGAUGGACUCGCGGCUUAUCAGCUUGUUGGUGGGGUAGUGGCUUACCAAGGCUUUGACGCGUAGCCGGCCUGAGAGGGUGACCGGCCACAUUGGGACUGGGAUACGGCCCAGACUCCUACGGGAGGCAGCAGUGGGGAAUAUUGCACAAUGGGCGGAAGCCUGAUGCAGCAACGCCGCGUGCGGGAUGACGGCCUUCGGGUUGUAAACCGCUUUCGCCUGUGACGAAGCGUGAGUGACGGUAAUGGGUAAAGAAGCACCGGCUAACUACGUG